rnacentral:tRNA from 2 species
GACCAUGUGGCCUAAUGGAUAAGGCAUCUGACUUUGGCUCAGAUGAUUGAGGGUUUGAGUCCCUUCACGGUCA